CCUACGGGUGGCAGCAGUGAGGAAUAUUGGUCAAUGGCCGGAAGGCUGAACCAGCCAUGCCGCGUGAAGGUCAGUGCCCUUUGGGCGUUAAACUUCUUUUGUGCGGGAGCAAUAAUGGUCACGUGUGACCAGACGAGAGUACCGUACGAAUAAGCAUCGGCUAACUCCGUGCCAGCAGCCGCGGUAAAGCGGGGGAUGCAAGCGUUCGCCGGAUUUAGUGGGUUUAAAGGGUGCGUAGGCUGUGGUGUAAGGCAGCGGUGAAAUGCCCCCGCUCAACGGGGUGAAGUGCCAUUGAUACUGCCGUGCUGGAGUGCUGAUGCCGUGGCAGGAAUGUGGGGUGUAGCGGUGAAAUGCAUAGAUAUCACACAGAACACUGAUUGCGAAGGCAUCUCACGAGUCCGCGAUUGACGCUGAUGCACGAAAGCGUGGGUAUCAAACAGGAUUAGAUACCCUAGUAGUC
rnacentral:rRNA from 1 species